rnacentral:rRNA from 1 species
ACACACANUUAAACUACCAAUUGUCCGCCAAACAACUACGAGUAAUACUUAAAACUUAAAAGACUUGACGGUGCUUCACCACAGCCUAGAGGAGCCUGUCCAAUAACCGACAAUCCACGAUUAACCCGACCCCCUCUCGCCCAACAGUCUAUAUACCGCCGUCGCCAGCUUACCUUGUAAAAGAAAUAAAGUGAGCUUAACAGUAUUACACUAAAACGACAGGUCGAGGUGUAACUCAUGAAGGGGCUAAGAUGGGCUACAUUCUCCAACCCAGAAUACGAACAACACUAUGAAACUAGUGUUUAAAGGCGGAUUUAGCAGUAAGAUAAGAAUAAAACACUAAACUGAACAUAACGCAAUGAAGUGCGUACACACCGCCCGUCAUCCCUGCCUCACA